rnacentral:rRNA from 1 species
AGGACGAACGCUGGCGGCGUGCUUAACACAUGCAAGUCGAGCGGAAAGGCCUUUCGGGGUACUCGAGCGGCGAACGGGUGAGUAACACGUGAGUAAUCUGCCCAUCGCUUCAGGAUAGCCAUCGGAAACGGUGAUUAAUACUGGAUAUGACAUUCCUUCGCAUGUUGGGGUGUGGAAAGUUUUUUCGGCGGUGGAUGUGCUCGCGGCCUAUCAGCUUGUUGGUGGGGUAAUGGCCUACCAAGGCUUUGACGGGUAGCCGGCCUGAGAGGGUGACCGGCCACACGUGGGACUGAGACACGGCCCAGACUCCGACGGAGGCAGCGAGGUGGGAAUAGUUGGACAAGUGGGCGGAAGCCUAGAUCCAGCAACGCCGGCGUGGAGGAUACGGACGGUCCGUUCGGGUUACGUAAACCCUUC